CCUGAUGAAGAUAGCGACUGUGAACCACCUGAUUCCAUUCCGAACUCAGAAGUGAAAACAGUUAGCGUCGAUGAUAGUGUGGCAUUCGCCAUGUGAAAGUAGAACAUCAUCAGGU
rnacentral:rRNA from 1 species